rnacentral:rRNA from 1 species
UACGUAGGGUGCAAGGCGUUAAUCGGAAUUACUGGGCGUAAAGCGUGCGCAGGCGGUUUUGUAAGUCUGUCGUGAAAAUCCCCGGGCUCAACCUGGGAAUUGCGAUGGAGACUGCAAGGCUAGAAUCUGGCAGAGGGGGGUAGAAUUCCACGUGUAGCAGUGAAAUGCGUAGAGAUGUGGAGGAACGACCGAUGGCGAAGGGCAGCCCCCUGGGUCAAGAUUGACGCUCAUGCACGAAAGGCGUGGGGAGCAAACAGG